UCGCGCACCAUACCAAUUUGAAAAAUCGAUGAGGAUGCCAAAGAAGAAAUUUACUCCGAGAGCCACUUGGAUUGACCUUCAUUGAGAGUAAAACUUCCCCACACUAUAUUUUAUUAGAUCUGUAAAAACUUUAUCCAUUUUCUGACUAUCUGAUAAAAUAGAUACAAUUUCCCUGAAUAAUGGAUCGUCACAAAAGAUUUUUUUUUAAGGCCACUUCGUUAAAAUAGGUGUUUCCAGUACUUCCUCAUUUGGGUAUUUUACACAAAAUCUGGAAUUUUUUUUAUGUACAUGUCAUUUUUAUCAUCUGUCCCGCGCAACCAAACCAUCCACUUUUCCCGGUCACCAAUGUUCUUAACAAGAUAUCAAGAGAGAGAGGCUGGUCCAUUAUUUGCGUAGUCCAGCCAGCUUUUUUUUUUUGACAACCUUUUUUCGUUCUCUCUCAUGAAGGAUAUGUUUGAAAAUUAGUCUUACAAAAUACAAUUCCAAACCAACUCAUGCAGUUAUCGUCUUUUCACAGUUUUGAGGAGUCAUCCUUUUUGCUAGCCAGAGUGUUAAUUGGCAAAAGUGAAAAAUUCAUUUUGUUUAAUUUUUUAAAACAUCACAUUCACACGAUUAUUGAUACAGCUGAGACAGUGAAUGAAACGAAUGCAGUGGUUAUACUGAUUAUACUUAAAGUGACGAUACUACUUAUAGAUCUACCAGUUGAUAAACAUCAUCAUCAUAGAUAAUAAUCUACAUCUAUAAUCAUAGUGCCCUUUAUUUAGUCAAUAUAGUCAAGUCAAGAUAGUGGAAUGUAAACUCGAAGGUUUAAUACAAUACGUUAUUAACAAGUAGAACCAUGGCAACCAGUUCUGAUGAUGUACCAGAAUGGCUCAAGGAUCAUACUUAUACUAUUUCUACUCUCUGGGCAUCCAUUCAAUAUUUAAUUUAUGUUUGGAAAUGCAAGAAAAAGGCAUGCAUUCCUGAAAAGUCAAUGAUUGGUUGCACCUCUUAAAGAUAACUUUCUGUUAUGAGAAAAGAUGAGAUUCUUGGACUCCUGCAUAGCACCAUCAGAAAGGAAAAUCCCAUCAUGUUGCAAAAUAAAAGUCUUGGACCAAUUUUAAUUUAAGAUAUAUAUAUAAUAUUGUAAGCUGUAUACAUAUUUAUGUAUAUCCUGUCAUUCAGCCAACAGGUUUGGAUUUAGUAUAUCUUUAAAUCUGUUUGAUAUUGUACUUGAAAACUAUUAAUCUGAGCCCCAUUAAAACAAGAGGGAGUGCAGUAGAUGAGUGGUAAGGGAAAUUUUACUUUUUUAAAAUUAAAAUAAGAAUCUAACAAAAGUUAACAUAUAAAAUAUGGUGCAUUCUCCUUAAAACUAAAACCUGGUGCUAAGGUUUAAAAUGUUGGCAAAAAAAAAAGCAACAUCAAUUAAAUAUUCUUAAUUCCCUUUGCAAAACUUACUGAGAAGAACAUGCAUGUUGUUCCCUCAUAAGUUUCUUGACAGAGGAAAUCUUGUUUAUAUUAGAUUUGAAUUAAGCAAAUUAAGAAAAAAAUUAUCAUCAUUAUUUCAAAUGGUUUUAUCUAAACCUUAUGAAUUAUUUUUCAGUUAUAAGUAUAUUGAAAUGAAUGGAUAAUCAUGAAAUCGUUAAAUAAUUGCUGCUAUCAUUCCAUUGACUAAAGAACCAUAAUUUUUUUUAAAAUUAAUUUCAAAUUGAUUUUUUUCAAGCAGAGUUCACAUAGAUCUUGAGUGAAAUUUUUCUUUUUUUGACUAAUGCUUCAAUUUUAUUGUAUCAUUAGUUUUUUAUUUUUAUUACCCAGAAUAUUUAAAAAAUGAGUACACUAUUUUCAUGUAAUAAUGUAACUUGGUAUUCACACAUCAAAAUACGCUAUAAUCUUUAGGCCAUAUAGAUUUGUAUAAUAUAAAUUAACUUGCUUAAAUACAUUGUAAAUGUAUAUUGUUUGGAUAAGAAUAAAGUUUUUCUGUAGACAAUUAUUGUUCAAGAUUUGUUGAUGCUCCUGCUUAAUAAAUUAUAUAUACAGGUCAUUAGUUUUAACACACUACUGACACAAGAAAAACUGGUCGCCCCCACUUCCAUUACAUAGAUGUAAUAAAACGUGACCUCAAAUCAGUGAACAUCAAUACUGACAAUUGGGAAGACAUAGCUUUAGACCGCAACAGAUGGAGAGACAGUGACCAAGAAAGCUAUGGACAGUGAAAGUACAUAGGUCUCAGCUCAGGAAGAAAAACGUACAGUCCGAAAAACGGCCAGCUCCUCUACCACCGAAGCAAAAGCCACCUUAACCUGUGCUAUCUGUGGACGGGAGUGUCUCCAAAAUAGGGCUCCACAGCCACAUGAGCAAGUGUGCUCUGAGAUGAAACCUUAGUCUUUCUACGACUGAAGGAGGCCAAUGAUGACGAUACAGGUCAUUAGUUUUAACACGUCUGAUAAUAAAUGACAGUACAAGUUAUUGAAUGAAAAUUUGUCAUUAUUUCAGGUGCUUUAGGCCUACAUCAAUGUGAGGUACCAGUACUUUGAUUGUGUCAUAUAACAAUUUAAAGCAACAUUUUGAAAUGAAUAGUGUGUAGAAUUGACAGUAAAUACAUUUAAGUGAUGGGCUGUGAUCUGCAUGAAUUGAGAGCUAAUCAUGUAUUGAAUUUGUGUUUUUGAUCUUUACUUCAAGUAAAUGUUAAUGAACAAUUAAUUUUUAAUGAAUAAAUAAUUUAAAAAUAAAUACAAAGAAACCAUAAACAUCUACUUUAUUUUAAUAAUUUUUUUUCAUCAGAACAGAAUUUCCAACUUUGCAUUCUUAAAAUAAAAUAUAAUUUAUUUAGAGUAGAGUCAGAACACAAAAUCAUAGUUUUGAAAUUAAGUAAAUUAAGUUUUAGAAGCUGUGAUCUCUUAUAAACAUUUGUAUAUAGACUACACACAAUUUAAUUAUUAUUUUUCAUCAAAUUGCAGGAACUAGUACAUGUACUUAUGCAUAUUUGACAAUAAAAAACCUUAGUCAAUGAAAUAGUAAUACUAGUAAAUGAGAUAAAAGUAAACUAAAUAUCAUCAAUGCUAUUGAAGCCACACUUGUUUCUUUUUAUCUUGUUUGGUGGACUGCAAUUAAAGUUGCUAUUAAUUUUACUGAUUGUCUUAGCUGAAAUGCCAGUGUCGUCUCUUUGAAUCCUAAGCUUAUUUUCUUGGUUAAUGGAAGUCCAGAUGUUUGGAGUUUCAUUUUAAACACCUAUAUAUUCCGAAAUGGCCUUCCGAUAGGCAAAACCUAUUUGCCUAACAUGUCAUAUGCACAUAAAGAGGUACCACAGAAAUGCUUUAAAGACAAGCUAAGGCGCCAACUUGCUUUAACUGACAUAGAAUAAGAGAGCACCUGGUUGCAUACAGCUUCAGAAUGAGACAGCUGGAGGUCACUUACAAAGGUGUGGUAUACACCAAUAAAAAUUAAUUGCCGAGGGUAGACGGCAAAAAGAAAAAAACAACUGAUUCUACCACAGGUGGACAAUGGUUAUGCCUGUGCUCAGUGUGGCAUAAUAUGUAGGUCACAGCUGGGGCUGAGUAGCCACUGGAAACAUAGCAUUCCUCAUAAGUCUUCGGAAUCAAAGACAAGCCUAUCAUUUUUGUAGAAUAGUUUGUAGCUUCUGUAAAUGCAUGAAAUGCCGU